AUUGAACGCUGGCGGCAGGCCUAACACAUGCAAGUCGAACGGAGUGGCGGACGGGUGAGUAAUGUCUGGGAAUCUGCCUGGUAGUGGGUGAUAACGUCCGGCAACGGGCGAUAAUACCGCAUACUAUCAGAUGAGCCUAGGUCGGAUUAGCUAGUUGGUGGGGUAAAGCCCUACCAGGGCGAUGAUCCGUAACUGGUCUGAGAGGAUGAUUAGUAACAAUGGAACGGAGACAGGGUCCAGACUCCUACGGGAGGCAGCAGUGGGGAAUAUUGCACAAUGGGCGCAAGCCUGAUGCAGCCAUGCCGCGUGUGUGAAGAAGGCCUUCGGGUUGUAAAGCACUUUCAGCGGGGAGGCGUUACCCGCAGAAGAAGCACCGGCUAACUCCGUGCCAGCAGCCGCGGUAAUAC
rnacentral:rRNA from 1 species